GGAGUUAGCCGGUGCUUCUUCUGUGAGUGAUGUCCUUCCUGCCGGUUAUUGACCCGCAGGCCUUCUUCCUCACUGAAAGUGCUUUACAACCCGAAGGCCUUCUUCACACACGCGGCAUGGCUGGAUCAGGGUUGCCCCCAUUGUCCAAUAUUCCCCACUGCUGCCUCCCGUAGGAGUCUGGGCCGUGUCUCAGUCCCAGUGUGGCUGAUCAUCCUCUCAGACCAGCUACGGAUCGUCGCCUUGGUGAGCCGUUACCUCACCAACCAGCUAAUCCGACAUAGGCUCAUCCGAUAGCGCGAGGCCCGAAGGUCCCCCGCUUUCCCCCGUAGGGCGUAUGCGGUAUUAGCCUGGGUUUCCCCAGGUUAUCCCCCACUACCGGGCAGAUUCCUAUGCAUUACUCACCCGUCCGCCGCUCGCCACCAGGGAGCAAGCUCCCCGUGCUGCCGCUCGACUUGCAUGUGUUAGGCCUGCCGCCACGCGUUCAUCUGAGCCAUAAUACAACUACUGA
rnacentral:rRNA from 1 species